rnacentral:rRNA from 1 species
GGACGAACGCUGCGGCGUGCUUAACACAUGCAAGUCGAGCGGUAAGGCCCUUUCGGGGGUACACGAGCGGCGAACGGGUGAGUAACACGUGGGUGACCUGCCCUUAGCUCUGGGAUAAGCCUGGGAAACUGGGUCUAAUACCGGAUAUGACUCCAUGACGCAUGUUGUGGGGUGGGAAAGCCUUGUGCGGCUAGGGAUGGGCCCGCGGCCUAUCAGCUUGUUGGUGGGGUGAUGGCCUACCAAGGCGACGACGGGUAGCCGGCCUGAGAGGGCGACCGGCCACACUGGGACUGAGACACGGCCCAGACUCCUACGGGAGGCAGCAGUGGGGAAUCUUGCGCAAUGGGCGAAAGCCUGACGCAGCGACGCCGCGUGAGGGAUGACGGCCUGG